ACUCCUACGGGAGGCAGCAGUGGGGAAUAUUGCACAAUGGGCGCAAGCCUGAUGCAGCGACGCCGCGUGAGGGAUGACGGCCUUCGGGUUGUAAACCUCUUUCAGUACCGACGAAGCGCAAGUGACGGUAGGUACAGAAGAAGGACCGGCCAACUACGUGCCAGCAGCCGCGGUAAUACGUAGGGUCCGAGCGUUGUCCGGAAUUACUGGGCGUAAAGAGCUCGUAGGUGGUUUGUCGCGUUGUUCGUGAAAACUCACAGCUCAACUGUGGGCGUGCGGGCGAUACGGGCAGACUGGAGUACUGCAGGGGAGACUGGAAUUCCUGGUGUAGCGGUGGAAUGCGCAGAUAUCAGGAGGAACACCGGUGGCGAAGGCGGGUCUCUGGGCAGUAACUGACGCUGAGGAGCGAAAGCGUGGGGAGCGAACAGGAUUAGAUACCCUGGUAGUCCACGCCGUAAACGGUGGGUACUAGGUGUGGGUUUCCUUCCUUGGG
rnacentral:rRNA from 1 species